GUAUUUUUCCACGUCCUUAUGUAAUGGUUUACAUAACUUUGCUAGAAUUUUAAAUGUUGCAAUUGGAUUUGAUCUUAUCCGUUUCAAAUGGUUGACAUACAUUAUUUUUACAUGUCUGUAUUUAAUGGUCAACCAUAAACUUUUAAUCUUGGUAUACAUAUUUCAUGGCACAUAAUCGACAAAGUUCUACGGUACCAUUUCGAGUGCCUAGACCAACCAUUCAUUCAGAUGUGGAGGAUAUAAGCUCAACCAAAGUGGAUCCCAAUGCUAGUAAUUGUCAUGUGCGUUGGAGUGAUGCAAUGGAUGGUUGUAUGAUAACUGCACUACUGCAUCAAGUGUAGGCUGGUCACAAAAGGAAUGACAAUGGGUUUUCAUCACAUCACGUUUCCAAAGCAAUUGAGAGCGUGUAUAAUGAAUGUGAAGUCAUGGUCUCAGAUAAGAACGUGAGGGUGCGAUUGAAGACCCUAAAAAAGGAAUUUCUUGAAGUUCGCCAAUUGUUGAGUAUGAGUGGUUUUGGGUUAGAUCCUAACACUAGACGUGUCACAAUUGAUGUUAUAGCUUGGGAAGAGUUUUUGAAGGUAUAAUCUUCAUCAACCAACUACAUUACGAGGUAUUAUAUAUUAGUAGUAUAGUAUCUUUUGAACAUUGACCACGCAUGGCACAUAUUCUACUAUGUUUUCCUUUCUAGGAGAAACCGGAAUUCGAAAAGUGGAGGACCAAACUUUGUGCUCAUUAUGAUGAUAUGGAGGCUAUAUUUGGAAAUAACUCGCGUUGUAUCCGACAAUGAUAAU
rnacentral:lncRNA from 1 species